rnacentral:rRNA from 1 species
AUUGAACGCUGGCGGCAUGCUUUACACAUGCCAGUCGAACGGCAGCGCGGGCUUCGGCCUGGCGGCGAGUGGCGAACGGGUGAGUAAUGCAUCGGAACGUGCCCAGUAGUGGGGGAUAGCCCGGCGAAAGCCGGAUUAAUACCGCAUACGACCUGAGGGUGAAAGCGGGGGACCGAAAGGCCUCGCGCUAUUGGAGCGGCCGAUGUCGGAUUAGCUAGUUGGUGGGGUAAAGGCUUACCAAGGCGACGAUCCGUAGCUGGUCUGAGAGGACGACCAGCCACCAUGGGACUUAGACACGGCCCAGACUCCUAAGGGAGGCAGCAGUUGGGAAUUUUGGACAAUGGGGGCCACCCUGAUCCAGCCAUGGCGGGUGCGGGAAGAAGGCCUUCGGGUUGUAAACCGCUUUUGGUCGGGAAGAAAUCCUCUGGGCUAAUACCCCGGGGGGAUGACGGUACCGGAAGAAUAAGCACCGGCUAACUACGUG